AGAGAAGGAGGGAGGGAGGGAAGGAGAGGGAGGGAAGGAGAGAGAGAAGGAGGGAGGGAGGGAGGGAAGGAGAGAGAGAAGGAGGGAGGGAGGGAAGGAGAGGGAGGGAAGGAGAGAGAGAAGGAGGGAGGGAGGGAAGGAGAGAGAGAAGGAGGGAGGGAGAGAGAGAAGAAGGGAGGGAGGGAGGGAAGGAGAGAAAGAAGGAGGGAAGGAAGAAGGGGGGAGGGAAGAAUACAGACAGCACACAAGUUCAAGACCAUGCAUGGGGUUCCCCUGGUGUCUACACAGGAGUUCACCCAGGCACAGGCCAAUCUCUGAGGGUGCCCUCUCUGUGCCCCUGGGAGACCUCAUCCCCCUGCCCUCAGACACAUCUGGCCAAAGUCUCAUCUGUCUUCCAUAGACACUUCAUUUUCCUUUCCGUUCUGCUAUGUAGAGACAGUCUCACUGUGUAGCCCAGGCCCAGUUUCCCUAAUGCUGAGAUGACAGACGCCAUCACACCAGGCCUGGAAAUAUUCAUUCACUCAUUAUCUGUCCUCAAAGAGAGAGACAGCAGGAUCUCAGCUCACUAAACUUAGCUAUUGACUUUUUGAUCAUGGAAGAACAUGGAGAGGUACAGAGUGAGACCAUAAUAUGUAGGCACACACAAGUACAUACAUACAUACACACAUGUACAUACAUGUGCGCACGCGCGCGCGCGCACACACACACACACACACACACACACACACACACACACACAGCUGGUUCUGUCAUGCUCUGCCCCACAGGAAGUGGAACAUCUUAGAUCCCACCAGGUUGGCGGAGUGGGGGAAGGCUGUGUCAAGGGACCCUGUCAGGUCUGAAGGUCGCCCCACAGGUCACCCAGGCACACACGCAGAGCGCCCUGGGCCCCAUGGCAACGCAGCACAGAGACAUCAAACAGGGAGGCCCUACGUCACUGCGGUUAGGGAGGCUCCUCCCCACUGGCUGGUGGCUAGCUCCUCAGGCCGUCAGGCAGCCCGCCUCCUGUCGCCGUGGCGACCGACUGUGUUGUGGACUGUCCCGGGCCCACCAGAUCCCUGCCCCCUCGCUGGGGCACUGCCUCUCCCCCGCAUCCGGGGAGGGUGCCCAGCUCUGUCAUUCAACUGCCGGUAUGGGGCCUAGUGUCGAGCAGAGUGGCCUACCAUUUGUGGCUUAGAGGGGUCCCCUGGAGAUGAACAGCGUUGCCCGUCUCUGGAGGGUUGGGUUGCCAUGAGUGGCACCGGGGUGGGUAGUUACCAGUUGGGGUGGGUGACACACAGGAGUGGCCCCGGGGAUGAAUAGUUACCAGGGUGCUGUUGGGGUGGGUGACACAGGGGUGGCCCCAGGAUGGGUAGUAACUAGGGCACAUUUGAGGUAGGUGACACAGGAGUGGCCCAAGGAUAGGUAGUUACCAGGGCGCUGUUGGGGUGGGUGACACACAGGAGUGGCCCAAGGAUAGGUAGUUACCAGGGCGCUGUUGGGGUGGGUGACACACAGGAGUGGCCCAAGGAUAGGUAGUUACCAGGGCGCUGUUGGGGUGAGUGACACACAGGAGUGGCCCAAGGGAUAGGUAGUUACCAGGGCGCUGUUGGGGUGGGUGACACAGGAGUGACCCAGGGUGGGUAGUUACCAGGGCGCUGUUGAGGUGAGUGACAUACAGGAGUGGCCCAAGAGAUAGGUAGUUACCAGGGCGCUGUUUGGGAGGGUGACACAGGAGUGGCCCCAGGCUGAAGCACCAGGGCUGACCUGAAGUCCUGGUAAGGGGAAAAAGGGGAUAAGCGGCUCAAGAUGUCAAAUUUGAUUGUGGGUGGCCGCUAGGCGCUGGAGCUGGAGCACACAGGGUUAAAGAGCGCCCUUCUCGGGGUCUCCCCUCCUCAACACCCCGUCCCUUCCGGGGGAUUUCGGGCCCCAGCCCCUCUGACGUCAGUGGGGUUGCUAUGGCAACCGCCCGACUUUCCCAAAUAAAAUUACUGCGGGCGAGCAAAGUUUCCUGGAGUCGGCUGCGGAGUAAACAAUGGCAGGGGCGGGGCUCGGCGCGGGGGUCCCGAGGCCGGAGCUGGGGAUCCCUGUCCCAGGCCUCUGGGAGAUGGGUCCGGACAAGGGAACUGAGCGAGCGGACGCCCGGGCGGCUCCCACGCGUGCACUUCCUGUCGCCGGCUGCGGGAGGAGGUAAAUCAAGCGAGCAGGCAACAACCGGAGCAGGGACCGGGAGGACCAGGCCCGCCGUACCGCCAAACCCAUCACCCACGGACUUAAAAACUAGGGAUAAUCCGUUUCUCACUCCCGGGCCUCGCCUAACCUGUAAAAUGGGAACAGAUCCCCUUCCAUUGGCUGCUGCCAGGUGCAAGGAGGGACCCCAGGUUUUGGCCAAAGCCAAUUAAAUGACUUUAGCUCCUGGUGUGCUUGGUACCCGCCUCCCAAGUUGGGUUUCCAGACCACAAAGCAUGUAGUUGCAUUUUAUUUCAAAGUCCACGGUGGAAUUUUUGUUUCGCUGGACGGG